AUUGAACGCUGGCGGCAGGCCUAACACAUGCAAGUCGAACGAGUGGCGGACGUGUGAGUAAUGUCUGGGACACUGCCUGGUGGGGGGGGAUCACUACUGGAAACGGUCGAUAAUCCCGCAUCCCCUGAGGUGUGCACAGAUGGGAUUAGCUUGUUGGUGGGGUAAUGGCUCACCAAGGCGACGAUCCCUAGCUGGUCUGAGAGGAUGACCAGCCACACGGGAACUGAGACACGGUCCAGACUCCUACGGGAGGCAGCAGUGGGGAAUAUUGCACAAUGGGCGCAAGCCUGAUGCAGCCAUGCCGCGUGUAUGAAGAAGGCCUUCGGGUUGUAAAGUACUUUCAGCGGGGAGGCGUUACCCGCAGAAGAAGCACCGGCUAACUCCGUGCCAGCCGCCGCGGUAAUUC
rnacentral:rRNA from 1 species